AGCGAACGCUGGCGGCAGGCUUAACACAUGCAAGUCGAGCGCCCCGCAAGGGGAGCGGCAGACGGGUGAGUAACGCGUGGGAAUCUACCCAUCUCUACGGAAUAACGCAUGGAAACGUGUGCUAAUACCGUAUACGUCCUUCGGGAGAAAGAUUUAUCGGAGAUGGAUGAGCCCGCGUUGGAUUAGCUGGUUGGUGGGGUAAUGGCCUACCAAGGCGACGAUCCAUAGCUGGUCUGGGAGGAUGAUCAGCCCAACUGGGACUGAGACACGGCCCAGACUCCUACGGGAGGCAGCAGUGGGGAAUAUUGGACAAUGGGCGCAAGCCUGAUCCAGCCAUGCCGCGUGAGUGAUGAAGGCCCUAGGGUUGUAAAGAUCUUUCACCGGUGAAGAUAAUGACGGUAACCGGAGAAGAAGCCCCGGCUAACUUCGUGCCAGCCGCCGCGGUAACAC
rnacentral:rRNA from 1 species